rnacentral:misc_RNA from 1 species
GUAAAAUAUGAACAGAAGUUUUCAAAUUCAUGCAGAUAUUUUCCUGGUUCACCCAGAAACAGAAUUCUUCAAGCCUCUUUUUAUCGAGUUACCUCUGAUAACAUUAUUGUAUCCAUUUUAAGAAAUGUUUUUGGUGUUAAAGAGACAGUUGUAUAUCCAUCUAGAAAAGAAAACUUAUCUCUAAUAGUGUCAAAAGCAAAAAAGAGAGUUUCAAUAUAAUGAUUUGCAUUGUGGAAAAAAAGUAGUUACAAACAAUAUUGGCAUCACAGAUUCUAUUAAUGAGGUUAACUUGGUUCAGCAUUUAAGUAAAAGAAACAGUCUCUAUGAAUACUUUUGUGCUGAACUUUUUAGUCAUGGCGUUCUUUGUUGGCGUGUUCGAAAACCGUCUCUUAGUAUAUGUGUUAUGAACAACUACAAUCACGAGAACGGGAACUUUCAAGAUAAAGAAUUUGUUCAUGUAAAAGCUGAAACAAUGUGUUCUACUACAAUAUACAACUGCUCCUGUAAAACAUUCUCAUCAUGUGUUUUUUUUCAAUCAGAAAAUUUGACCAAUGUAAAUAAUUGUUGUCAUUGUCGUCUGUUAAACCAGCUAAUGCAAAUGCUUGAUAAUCCUGAUUUCAUCCCAGAAAAUAGUUUAUUAAACAAAAAAAAACUUAUGGAUAGUUUAAUCUAUCUCAAAUCAAAUGUUUUUAAGUUAACUUCAAAAUCGGGAGUUGAAAGAUAUUCGGUAGUUGCUGAUUCAUGUUCUUUUGUUACAGUGUUUGAAAUUUCAAAAUCAUCUCGCAAAGUAAUAAAAUGUCAUGAUUCAUUAUGUCAAAUAUCUGAAGGAAGUACUCGUCAAAUUAAUAAUCUACACAAUGGUUGCUUAUGUCCACAUCUUAAAGUCUUUAGAGAAUAUUUUUAUCUUGUUGAAAACACAGUAGAAUCAUUUUGUAAUGACAAUGAUAAAGUGAUCUCUUUUGAUUCUGUGUUAGAGGAUAAUCUACCAAGGGAAAAGUGGGAAGAUGUUUUUGAUGUAGCAUCUGGUUUGUGGACAUUUGGAAUUAAUGCCCCAAGUAAAAAAACUGUUUCCAAUGACCAAUUUAAUGAAAAAUUUAGCAAUGACAUUGUAAAAAGACAGUCUGCUACCAAUGAAUAUUGUUUUAUGCCUUCUGUUGAUCUAGACAACUGUGACUGUGGUGCUGGGUGGGUAUCUGAAUCUGUUUUAUCUGGUUAUACAGAAUUUUACCAUAAAAUCAAUAUGUACACAGAUCGUGAAGUAAUUGAGUGUGAUGUUUUUUUGAGAAAAUAUUUAUCCAAUACUUGCAUUAGUUAUUGGGAUGGCUGUGAAGACUCUGUUUUUUGCUUAUCUAAAUCCACUUGUGCUGGUUAUGAACUAGGUUGGGAAUUUGUCGAUUUUGUUUUGUCUAAAGGAACAUUCAGCGGUUUUGUCAAUUUGUAUUCAAACAAGUACAAACGUAGAAGUACCUCUUAUUUGCCAUUUAUGUCUACACAAACAUUUAUUGAUUGGUUUUUUGCUUGGGCCUCCCACAUGCACAUUGAUUUUAGAGAAAAAUGUCAUAUGUGUCCAGAAAAUCAACAAAUACCAGUUUUAGCUUGCGAUGCGACAAAAAUAGGAAUUAGCUUAAAAAAUUCUUUUGUAAAACCUAUAGAGUCAGCUGAACUUUAUGAGAUUGUUCCAACACCAUUACGGCGACUAGAUAGAUCAUUUAUUUUUAAUUCGGAAAAAUUAGAUUCUAAACAGUUUUCCGAGGCUAGAGCUCAUUUAAAAAAGAUUUGUCUAUAUAUUCUAUCUGUUGAAAACUCUAAUUAUUUAAACUUUGAUUCUGAUACAUUAAAGUUGAAUUCGGUUCUUGUGAGUUAUAUUCCAGCUGAAUGUGUACCAUCAUUUCAGCUAAUGAUUUCUGAAUCACCUGUCCCAAAUGUUUUGCGAUGCUCCUAUGCCAAAGUUUUUAAAAUACUAGCUGCUGAUAGCUCCCUUGAUUCAUUAGUCCCAAUACGAUUCACUAAUGAAGUUGCUUGCAUAUGUGAACAAUUUUUAUCUAAUCUAGGUGAUUGUGAACUUGUUGUUAAGUUUUGUUAUUUAUUGCGUUGCUUCUCUCCUGAGCUAGCUAGGUUAGUUGAAAUAUCCUCUAACUAUAACAAUACACCUUCUGGAGAUAUUUUGCUAUUAAUACAAUACUGCUGUAACUUUGUGAAAAAAAUUCAUAUUAGUGAUGUUGAACCAAAUAACGCAGAAGUCAUUGAAGGCACUUAUAAUCCACCGCGAUAUGGUAGAGCAUAUUAUUUUGAAAAGCAUGGGUGCCAAAUAAGAAAAAUGCGAGUGUUUUCUGCAGAUAAAAGUUCCAGUAAUAACAUGUUUGAUGAUGUUCCAUCAGAAAUCUGCAAUAAAUUGUUUCCUCAAGUAUCUAAAAAAGGUGUUUCUUUUCUUUUUUUAUGGUUUUGCCCUAUACAUGGCCAUUGUUACGGAUUCCAUAUUAUCCCAGGGUCUGAGGGAAGAAAAGAUCCACAUGCCUCGUUGUAUACACAUCUUGAAGUUGCUCCAGAAAAUAUUGUGUAUGACUUUGCUUGCAGCUUGUCAGAGUUUUGUCACAACCGUGAAUCUGGUUAUUUUAAAAAUACCUCCUUUUUUCAUGAUGUAUUUCAUGGCUACACACAUAAAUGUGCUGAUGUUUUUCGGUGUAAUCGUUUGGGGAAUUUUUAUCCAAUCAAUUCAUCUAUCUGCGAACAGUUUAAUAGCUUUUUGCAGAAUAUAAAAUAUUCUGCUAAAUUAAUGACACAAACACAUUUUUGUUUUUAUCUACAAUUUUUUAUUCAUAUUUGGAAUCAGCGGAAAAAAAAUUUAUUUGAAAAAAGAAUUAUUGUAUCAGAAUGCACUAGAGAAUAGCUAUUUUAGAACAUAAUUUUGAAAAUCUAUCUAUCUUUUAUAUCGUGAAAAUCUAACUAUUUUUCACAUCAUAAGAAAAUAUAUUAUAUAUUUUAUUAAAAAACAUUGUUAAAAUCAAAUCAAAUUUUUGCAAGUAAUAGUUAAAUAAUUUAACAGUUUACGUUAUAGUAUAGAAUAUAUAGAAUAAAGAAUUGUAUGCUGACUGAUUGUCUGUUUCAGUUCAUUCCAUUAAUGGAAUACUGAAUUAGUCAUUCAGAUAGCUCUGUACCAACAUGCUACUUGCAAAUGCCAUAUUUCACACAGUACAAUAACAGUCGAAGUCAGUCAAAUUAGAAGAUCUGUACACAUUAUAUAUGGCAUAUGCUAAUAGCAUAUAAAGCUGUAGUUGCUUAUUUCGAUAUAUCGUAUAUUAAUGGAAUAAAGUGAGGCAGACAAUCAGUCAGCAAAAAUUUACUUUUCUUAUUGUAUAAGAUGGUAAUUUUACUAUGAAUUAUUUAUUUAAUCAUUUCUUGCAUUACAUUGUCGCAAGUUUCAUAUUUUGUCAGUUACCCCUCCUUUUAGAGUAACAUUUUACUUGUAAUUUUCUUGCAUUUAUUUUAUUAAAAUAUUGUGAUAAACGUUUUUAGUAGACAUUUUUAAUGGAUAAUGAUUUUUUUUAAAUCUUUUUGAAGUUCAAUUAUACAAGCAACUUAAGAACAUUUCUAGUAGAAUGAAGUUG